rnacentral:lncRNA from 1 species
CUUCUUAGGGGGGCAGCUGGGUAUCUCAGUGGAUUGAGAGCCAGUCCUAGAGACUGGAGGUCCUGGGUUCAAAUUUGUCCUCAGACACUUCCUAGCUGUGUGAGCCAAUAUACAGUAUUGACUCCAAGACAGAAGGUAAGAGUUUAAAAAAAAAAGAAUAUGCCUCAUUGAAUGAAAUCUAAUGAUCUCUCCUUCCUCUCCAUUCAGAACAUUUUCUACUAAUACCACUAAUCAUGGACAUGUGACUUCAUCACAACUCUGGCAUUACCAAAGCGAAUGGAAGGGCACCAAGGUUGACUUCACCCCAUCUGUGAUUUUGCCAAGAACCUCUGCACACACAGGCAAGAUUCUCCAAGGUUUCCUCUUUGCACGGGUUACCAUGGAUUUCCUAAAUAAGUUGCUCUUCAAAUCAGGUGAUCUAAGCAAGGAUUGAAAAUGAAUAUCACACAGAAGGUAAUGGAGAGGAUCACGGUGAUGUGAGCAGAAUAUAACAUAACGCCUGUAAAGAAGAACAGGGGUAAAAGAUGUCAUCAAGGAAAUAUAUAAUAGGAAGAGAAGAUGAACUAAUCAUACAGACGCCCAAGUGCUCCAUACUCUCUUUGAUGUCAAUAAGAUAAGAAAGGCAUCUGAUGCACAGGGUAGAAUUUCUGUGGUGAAUUUAGGGGAGGAAACGGUCUAGUUGCUUAGCAUGGGCAGGCAUGGAAAGGCUGCAAUUUAUAACACUGGAGGGUAUAUUCAACUUGAUGAGAUCACUUUUGAGUAUUUGAGUGAGUUGUUAAGGAGAUUGGGCAAUGAUGGUCUUUAGCCCACAUCAGAAAGAUGGAAUCAGUCAUGGUUUUUUAAAAUAAGAAGUUGCUCACAGGCCUCCUGAGUCCAUAAUUAAAUCCACAAGCCUUGGACUGAGGUGGCUCAGAAUUAGGAUAGAUCCUCUAUGUCAUAGGAAGGUUAGUGUCCUACUCAAGUGAGUUUAAUUGCUUUUUUUUAGCUGAGGUCAUCCGCAAGGAUGCCUCAAGUUGAUAGGAAAAUUGAAAGUUUCAUACCUGAAUGUUUCCAGAUCUAGAAGAUUCUAGAUAUUCCAGAAAAUAAGCACAGGAUGUACAAGAUUAAGGGGAAGCUGGGGAAAGUGUAUGACCAGGGUAUAGAUAGCCUCCUGACACAAAAUCCUUAUAAUUUUCUUCUAUCUAAUACCUCACUUUCUUAUUGCUGUCCUUAGUGCCCUCAGAUUGCCCUGUGGUUGUCUAGGUCCAGGAGAGACCUUUGG